GCAAAUUGUAAUAUUCUCCCUCAUUUCCAUUUGUGUUGCUGACUUGGGAAGAUGUCGAACGACAAAAGAAUUAUUUUCUUGGCGCUCUCAACACUGCUUCUCCUUAAACAGGGAAGCUGCGCUGAAGGGGGCACUACCGCGGCACCGCCACAACAAACAUCCUCGACGGCGACGACAACGGAAGCAUCACAAAGUUCGACAGAACCGGCGAAUACACAAACUACAUUAAAAGCGACUUCUAUCAAGCCAACGACAUCAAGUGGAGCCAGCACUACAGUCUCGGAGCAUGCUAGUACAAAUAGACCCACAGUAUCGACUCCUAUAGUUAGUCAGUCAGUCCCGACAACCUCAGGGCAAACAGCUGCAACUGAAUUAAAACCGACAACCCCAGUGCAAACUAGUACAAAGAAAAACCCGGAACCGACAUCUGAAAAUCCACCUAUGACUACAGAGCCUCACCAAGAAGUUUCAGAGUCUGGUGAAGCACAAAUAACAUCAUCAGCUUCCAUGGCAUCCAGCGGAAAGACCUUAAUGGCCGUAGUUGUUUUUAGUUUUAUUAUUGUAUCGAGAUUCGUUUAACUUUGUUGUACGCAAAUUAUAUAAGUCUAGCUCGUAGAAUAAUUAUUAAUACAGUCUUAAUACAGUCAA